GAUGAACGCUGGCGGCGUGCCUAAUACAUGCAAGUCGAGCGGAUGAAGAGAGCUUGCUCUCUAAUUCAGCGGCGGACGGGUGAGUAAUGCCUAGGAAUCUGCCUGGUAGUGGGGGACAACGUUUCGAAAGGAACGCUAAUACCGCAUACGUCCUACGGGAGAAAGCAGGGGACCUUCGGGCCUUGCGCUAUCAGAUGAGCCUAGGUCGGAUUAGCUAGUAGGUGAGGUAAUGGCUCACCUAGGCGACGAUCCGUAACUGGUCUGAGAGGAUGAUCAGUCACACUGGAACUGAGACACGGUCCGGACUCCUACGGGAGGCAGCAGUGGGGAAUAUUGGACAAUGGGCGAAAGCCUGAUCCAGCCAUGCCGCGUGUGUGAAGAAGGUCUUCGGAUUGUAAAGCACUUUAAGUUGGGAGGAAGGGCAGUAAGUUAAUACCUUGCUGUUUUGACGUUACCAACAGAAUAAGCACCGGCUAACUUCGUGCCAGCAGCCGCCGUAA
rnacentral:rRNA from 1 species